UUAUUUUAUUUUCAGUGUAUUUUUUUAUUUUGUUUCUAUUUUUUUUACUAUCUACUUCUUCCUAUUAUUCUAUUUUUUCUUUAACCAAAGACCAUGGUCCAAAGACCCCUGAAGUUUGGUAGGAUGCCAAUGGGCUUUGCGGCCCAAUUAUUUCACCGAGAGGCGGGAGUUUUAAUUUGGAAAGGUGAAUAACAGUGUUGGUAAGGGUAUUUAGGCUCAAGAAAUAUUCUGAUAACUACCUAGGAAAGUUUUAGGAAAGUGAGGGUGGGGGAUCGAAUAAGUAAAUAGUACAAAAUUUAGGUAAAAAUUGUGCAAAAAACAGAUUUCUUGAGGGUGGUAUUGAAUUUAGAAAUUAUGAUUUUGUUGCCCUAAAGAGAGUGUUAUAAAUACACAUUAUAGGUUAGGAAAAAAGAAAGAAAAAAAGACAGACGACGGAAAAGAAAAUUGCAGAAAAAGGUUCAUUAAAUAUUUUUUCGUUCUUCAGCAUUUUGGGUCUUUAGCUAUUCUGGGUUUGAAGAGGAACUGGAUAGAGAUUCUUAUUGUUGCAGCUGUAUUGGUUAAAUUCCAACCCUACUGAGCUCCAUUUCUACAAUUUUCAGACUUUAUUUGUUUGAGUUCACUCUUUUAGUAGGUAUGUAGAUUUUCAGCUUUGUUAUGAACUUAGAGCAAAAUAAAAAUUGAUUUGUUCUUCUGAAUCUGUGAUUAGUAUUUCA